UACGUAGGUGGCAAGCGUUGUCCGGAAUUACUGGGUGUAAAGGGAGCGCAGGCGGGAAGCCAAGUCAGCUGUGAAAACUACGGGCUUAACUUGUAGACUGCAGUUGAAACUGGUUUUCUUGAGUGAAGUAGAGGUUGGCGGAAUUCCGAGUGUAGUGGUGAAAUGCGUAGAUAUUCGGAGGAACACCGGUGGCGAAGGCGGCCAACUGGGCUUUAACUGACGCUGAGGCUCGAAAGUGUGGGGAGCAAACAGG
rnacentral:rRNA from 1 species